rfam:Picea glauca, whole genome shotgun sequence.
ACAUGCCUAUAACAUAGCGUUAAUGAAAUGGAUCCCAUUAGAACUCCACAAUUAAGUGCGUUCAAGCAAGAGUAGCACUGGGAUGGGUGACCACCCAGGAAGUCUUAGUGUUUCACAUGCC